rnacentral:rRNA from 1 species
AAUUGAUUAACGCGAAGAGCUUACUCCCCUUGACAUCUUAGGAAUCCGCAGAGAUGGGAGUGCCGAAAGGAACCAGAGACAGGUGGCACGGCGGUGUCAGCUCGUGUUGUGAGAUGUUGGGUUAAGUCCCGUAACGAGCGCAACCCUUAUCUUAGUGUCAACAUGUAAUGUGGGGACUCUAGGAGACUGCCGGUGAUAACCGGAGGAAGGGGGGAGACGUCAAUCAUCAUGCCUUAUGGGUAGGGCUACACCGUGCUACAAUGGGGGUACAGAGGGAAGCCACUCGCGAGAGGGAGCGAUCCCAGAAAGCGUUCGUAGUCCGGAUUGGAUCUGCAACUCGAUCAUGAAGUCGGAAUCGCUAGUAAUCGCGA